CAUGUGCACGGUAACUCCGCUGUUGUACAUAAUAUCUGCGAGUGUUAAUUUAUUCUUUAAUAAGAAUAUCGAGCGAAUAGUAAAAGUUCCGUUAUUUUCCGUCAAAAUAAUAAUAAAAUACGUGCAAGUAAUCUAUAAUACGUCGCGUCGGGAGUGCCGUAUAAAGUACCGUGCGAUUAUUUAUUAAUUUUUAUGCGUAAACGUAAUUAACCGUGUUGUCGCGAGUGUUACGAGUGCAACAAAGGAAAAAUGACCAACAAUAAGAGAGGAGGAGGAGGCUUGAGAAGGCAUCGGGCAAUAGCGGGGCAACCGUGAGAUCAAUAUGUGCACUGCAACUCCGCUGCGCGUCGUACCGCGAGUCGGAACGACCGGGCCAGUCGAGACCUGACGGGAGAGAGAGAGAGAGAGAGAGAGAAAGGGAAGGUGGAUGCCUAACAAGGGAUAACUUCAUUAAGGACCGCGGACCCAGCUUGUGUGUUUUACAAGUUACAAAUUAAGCUGAUUAGCAGCAAGUCGAAGCUCGAACUACCGCCUGCGCCGGCCAAAUCUCCGCUCGUCGCAUGCGACAACGUAAACGUUGAAUCGUGCCCCGGUUUGUUGACAUUCUGCAUGUUCGAACGGGCGAGAGAGUUGAUAGCGCUCGUGAGAAACUGCAACAAAUGAAUUAUCAUCCGCGCGUUCUGUGUUGAUAUUUUCCACAAUAUAUAGGUAUAUAUAUAUAUAUAUAUAUAUAUAUAUAUUUGGAAAUAUCCUGCGAACUACGUUUCCGAACGAGCAUCUCUCUAAUUUACACCGUGCGCAAAAUAAUAAAUAAUAAAAUGAAUAUUUAAUAAACUCUCUUAUAGCGUCUAGCGAUUAAAUAUUUCUUUCGCGUGGCAAGAGAUUAUCUUAAUUCUUUGAAAACUAAAAAACGCGAGCGCUAACGAACGCGAUUCUCUCCCUGCUCUCUCGCAUAUAUUUAUACACAUAAUAAGGGGAAAAAAAGAGUUUGUCUGAAACAUGGGAGGCAUUCGUCGUGCGAUACAAGUACUGCAGUUUCUCUCUCCGACAAGAUAACGUGACUGAAAAAUGGAAACAGAGAAAGGAACAAGCGACGUCGUCGAUCUUACGCGAGAUUGUCUUCUUCACUCUUGCGCCUUCACAGUACAUAAUUACGUCGCGCGAACUCUCCCGCGCAUGAAUGAAAUAUAAUAAAUAAUAAUAUGUAUAUAUGUAUAUCGUAUAUAGCGAGACCAUUGAUUGAAAAAUGCAUCACAUCCGCGAUACUACUAUUUUACAUACGUUACGAGAUGAAAACUCGUAUCGAAUUUGGAAACUCGCGACAAAAUUUAAAUGCAAACUAACUUUAAAUGAUAAAUUACGUAUGCAUAACGUAGCGUGUAAUAAUAAAUGUUAUGCGUGCAUAUAUAAUUUGAUCUCAUUUUCUGCGCGCAUUUUUCCCGUUUCGUCGAACGUGUGUUGUCCUCCUCUAUACUUUAUUCCCGAGUAAUUACAUUCCAAACGAUCUAUGUGUUCCUAAAUGAUCCAAUCCGGUUGAAUU